rnacentral:rRNA from 1 species
UACGGAGGGUGCGAGCGUUGUUCGGAAUCACUGGGCGUAAAGCGCGUGUAGGCGGCCCACUAAGUCUGAUGUGAAAGCCCGGGGCUCACCCCCGGAAGUGCAUUGGAAACUGGCAGACUGGAGUCCCGGAGAGGAGGGUGGAAUUCCUGGUGUAGCGGUGAAAUGCGUAGAUAUCUGGAGGAACACCGGUGGCGAAGGCGACAUCCUGGACCGGUAUUGACGCUGAGGCGCGAAAGCCAGGGGAGCAAACGGG